rnacentral:rRNA from 1 species
AUUGAACGCUGGCGGCAUGCUUUACACAUGCAAGUCGAACGGCAGCGCGGGCUUCGGCCUGGCGGCGAUUGGCGAACGGGUGAGUAAUACAUCGGAACGUGCCCAGUAGUGGGGGAUAGCUCGGCGAAAGCCGGAUUAAUACCGCAUACGACCUGAGGGUGAAAGCGGGGGAUCUUCGGACCUCGCGCUAUUGGAGCGGCCGAUGGCAGAUUAGCUAGUUGGUGGGGUAAAGGCCUACCAAGGCGACGAUCUGUAGCUGGUCUGAGAGGACGACCAGCCACACUGGGACUGAGACACGGCCCAGACUCCUACGGGGGGCAGCAGUGGGGAAUUUUGGACAAUGGGCGAAAGCCUGAUCCAGCAAUGCCGCGUGUGUGAUGAAGGCCUUCGGGUUGUAAAGCACUUUUGGCGGGAACGAAAAGGACUGUGCCAAUACCACGGUUCGAUGACGGUACCCGCAGAAUAAGCACCGGCUAACUACGUG